rnacentral:rRNA from 1 species
CGGCGAGUGAAGAGGGAAGAGCCCAAGAUUGAAAGCUGGCGCCUUCGGCGUCCGCAUUGUAAUCUCAAGAAGUGUUUUCCGCUUCGGACCAUGCCUAAGUCCCUUGGAAAAGGGCAUCACAGAGGGUGAUAAUCCCGUACAUGGCAUGGAGCGCCCGAAGCUUUGUGAUACGCUUUCUAAGAGUCGAGUUGUUUGGGAAUGCAGCUCAAAAUGGGUGGUAAAUGCCAUCUAAGGCUAAAUAUUGGGGAGAGACCGAUAGCGAACAAGUACAGUGAUGGAAAGAUGAAAAGAACUUUGAAAAGAGAGUUAAACAGUACGUGAAAUUGCCAAAAGGGAAGGGUAGGAGGUCAGAGAUGCGUCGCAGGAUUCAGCCUUGCUUUUGCUUGGUGUUUUUCCUGCGUUGCAGGCCAACGUCGGUUUUGGGCACUGGAGAAGGGUAGGAGGAACGUGGCACCUCUCGGGGUGUGUUAUAGCCUCCUACUGGAUACAGCGACCGAGACCGAGGAACGCAGCGUACUCGUAAGAGCGGGCCUUUUGGCACCUUUACGC